CACCGCAUGGAAAAAGAAAGAGAUACACCUCAACGGGAAAAGAGUGUACUUCGAUCACGAUUAUCCAGCAGAAGUGAUAAAAAAGAGAAAGGAAUAUGCACCAUUGAGGAAGGUGUUAAAAGAACGAGGACUCAGAUUCCAAACACCUGCACCCGCAAAACUCCGAGUCUUUUAUGAAGAAGGACCCACCACAUACAGCAACGCGGACGAGGCGACGAAGGAUAUGCUUAAGAGGGGGAUACUAACAGCUGACGAAGGAACCGACGAGGGAAACACGCCGACGCAUCCCAGACAACCGUGACACCGCGCAAGAAGCUGGAAAGAAAUACAUGGCAGACCAGCGGGUCCCCAGGACGUCGAAACCGGUCCACAGACAUCGAUCGAGCCAGAGAGAAGCUCCGGAGGUUUCAACGAGCCAUUACACUGCAGGAGAAUAUGACCUGAGAUAUACUCGGCCUAUAUACCUACUGGCCCCAAGCCCCAACGCUCACAGACUGACAGGUGCAAAGACUCACGGGUUGUAGCUGUGUCAUGGAGGCAAAGUAGCAAACUGGCCUGAUACCUGCUGUACCCACCUGCACCACCUUCUGUGCUUGAAUAUCGACGACCAGCAGUCGGCUCAGGAGGGGCUGGGUCACGUAGAUGUACUUAUCCCUGAUGUUGACUGCUGAGGACCACACGCAGUGCUGAGGUGACACCCCCUCACCUUUAGGGCACAUCUCCUCCUGCACCAUGGAGAAUCUGCAACCCACCUCCACCGCUCCACGUCAACAUUGGACGCCAGACCAUCUCCAAUCAAACAAUCUAAUCAGAAGUUUCCCUUGUGAAGACAUUCCGACCCUCGAGCUCCAUUCCUCAUCACCACCACCAGUGUCUAGACUCAGACGGAAGAUUCCUCUUAAUGGAAGGAUGUUAAACCGAUGAAUUGUUUCCAUUGUGAUCCACUUCCUGAUGGGGGUCUAAGUGACAAAGUCUAUUCCUUCUGUUCACAAUAAAUU